CCCUUAGAUGUUCUGGGCUGCACGCGCGCUACACUGAAGCGUUCAACGAGUAUUCACCUUGCCCGGGAGGGUUGGGUAAUCUUUUGAAAACGCUUCGUGAUGGGGAUAGAUUAUUGCAAUUAUUAAUCUUCAACGAGGAAUUCCUAGUAAGCGCGAGUCAUCAGCUCGUGCUGAUUACGUCCCUGCCCUUUGUACACACCGCCCGUCGCUCCUACCGAUUGUGUGAUCCGGUGAAUAAUUCGGACUGCAGCACUGCUUGGUCUCCAGGCUUUGCAGCGGAAAGUUUAGUGAACCUUAUCACUUAGAGGAAGGAGAAGUCGUAACA
rnacentral:rRNA from 1 species